UACGUAGGGUGCAAGCGUUGUCCGGAAUUAUUGGGCGUAAAGAGCUCGUAGGCGGUCUGUCGCGUCGAAUGUGAAAACCCGGGGCUCAACCCCGGGCCUGCAUUCGAUACGGGCAGACUAGAGUUCGGUAGGGGAGAUCGGAAUUCCUGGUGUAGCGGUGAAAUGCGCAGAUAUCAGGAGGAACACCGGUGGCGAAGGCGGAUCUCUGGGCCGAUACUGACGCUGAGGAGCGAAAGCGUGGGGAGCGAACAGG
rnacentral:rRNA from 1 species